rnacentral:rRNA from 1 species
GGGAAACUGCCUGAUGGAGGGGGAUAACUACUGGAAACGGUAGCUAAUACCGCAUAACGUCGCAAGACCAAAGAGGGGGACCUUCGGGCCUCUUGCCAUCAGAUGUGCCCAGAUGGGAUUAGCUAGUAGGUGGGGUAACGGCUCACCUAGGCGACGAUCCCUAGCUGGUCUGAGAGGAUGACCAGCCACACUGGAACUGAGACACGGUCCAGACUCCUACGGGAGGCAGCAGUGGGGAAUAUUGCACAAUGGGCGCAAGCCUGAUGCAGCCAUGCCGCGUGUAUGAAGAAGGCCUUCGGGUUGUAAAG